UAGGGAAUCUUCCGCUAUGGACGCAAGUCUGACGGAGCAACGCCGCGUGAGUGAAGAAGGAUUUCGGUUCGUAAAACUCUGUUGUUAGAGAAGAACAGCGCAUAGAGUAACUGUUAUGCGUGUGACGGUAUCUAACCAGAAAGCCACGGCUAACUACGUGCCAGCAGCCGCGGUAAUACGUAGGUGGCAAGCGUUGUCCGGAUUUAUUGGGCGUAAAGCGAGCGCAGGCGGUCAAUUAAGUCUGAUGUGAAAGCCCCCGGCUCAACCGGGGAGGGUCAUUGGAAACUGGUUGACUUGAGUGCAGAAGAGGAGAGUGGAAUUCCAUGUGUAGCGGUGAAAUGCGCAGAGAUAUGGAGGAACACCAGUGGCGAAGGCGACUUUCUGGUCUGUAACUGACGCUGAUGUGCGAAAGCGUGGGGAUCAAACAGG
rnacentral:rRNA from 1 species